GUCCACGCCGUAAACGAUGAGUACUAGGUGUUGCGGGUAUUGACCCCUGCAGUGCCGCAGCUAACGCAUUAAGUACUCCGCCUGGGAAGUACGGUCGCAAGACUAAAACUCAAAGGAAUUGACGGGGACCCGCACAAGCGGUGGAGCAUGUGGUUUAAUUCGACGCAACGCGAAGAACCUUACCUGGGCUUGACAUCUGUGGAACCUGGUGGAAACACCGGGGUGCCUUCGGGAGCCACAAGACAGGUGCUGCAUGGCUGUCGU
rnacentral:rRNA from 1 species